rnacentral:rRNA from 1 species
UUCGCAAUGCCCGAAAGGGUGAACGAGCGACGCCGCGUGCGGGAUGAAGGCCUUCGGGUUGUAAACCGCUUUUGCAAGGGAAAAACUUAAUGAUGGUACUUUGCGAAUAAGAGGUUACUAACUCUGUGCCAGCAGUAGCGGUAAUACAGAGACCUCAAGCGUUAUCCGGAUUUAUUGGGCAUAAAGCGCACGUAGGCGGCGACGUAAGUUGGGUGUGAAAUCCCUCGGCCCAACCGAGGAACUGCGCCCAGUACUGCGUUGCUUGAGGAUCCAAGGGGUGCAUGGAAUUCCCGGUGGAGCGGUGAAAUGCGUUGAUAUCGGGAGGAACUCCGGCGGCGAAAGCGGUGCACUGGUGGAUUUCUGACGCUGAGGUGCGAAAGCCAGGGGAGCAAACGGGAUUAGAUACCCCGGUAGUCCUGGCCGUAAACGAUGGGCACUAAGUAGAGGGGUUUU